rnacentral:tRNA from 1 species
AUUUAUAUAGUUUAUCUAAAUAAAACAUUAUAUUUUCAUUAUAAAAAAAAUAAAUAAUUAUUUAUAAAUU